rnacentral:rRNA from 1 species
CAGAGCAACGGGUCGUCGACCGUCAAAAGUUGGCGACCCAGCCUUGAAUACAUCAGCAUGGGAUAAUAGAAUAGGAUCUUUUUCUUAUUCUGUCGGUUUCCGAGGAAAAGGUAAUGAUCGAGAGGGGUAAUUGGGGGCAUUCAUAUUUAGUAGUCAGAGGUGAAAUUCUUGGAUUUACGAAAGAUGAACUUGUGCGAAAGCAUUUGCCAAGGGUGCUUUCUUUGAUCAAGAACGAAAGUUAGGGGAUCGAAGACGAUCAGAUACCGUCGUAGUCUUAACCUUAAACUAUGCCGACCAGGGAUUGGAAGACGUUACUAAACACCCCUCACAAGGGGGUGAAAACGACUCCUCCAGCACCUUGCGAGAAAUCACAAGUCUUUGGGUUCCGGGGGGAGUAUGGUCGCAAGGCUGAAACUUAAAGGAAUUGACGGAAG